CACUUAACCAAUGGAGCCACCCAGGGGCUUCAGUGCACGAUGUUUCAUAAUAAAAACUGAAAACAGUUUACUCCCCACAUGCUUAUGAACCAAGGACCAGGAUGGCUGGGGAGAAACCUGCCCAAAAUCACACAGGGAGUUGGGGGCAGAGCCCUAGGAUUCCACCUCCAGCUUGACACUGAUCUAGAGACCCCCCCACUACCACUACCCUGAUCUUGGGUCCCUGGCUUCACAUCAGCACCGCCCCUCCCCACACUGGGCUGGAGCCCUCUCACCCGUUGCAGGGCACCAGCCCUGGGACCCUGUGGAGCUUGGCUAAACGAGGAAAAGGAGCUGCAUUGCCGUGGUCGGGACACUGAGGCAGGGGCCGUUCGUGUCUUGCACAGAGCCCCAAGGAAGUUUCAUGCAGAGGCUCUCCAGCUCUCCAGGCUGGGGGAGGAGAGGAACCAGCUUGCUGAUGACAUUCACAGCUACCCUCCCUCCUGCCAGAGAAGAAAAGUUUGUUUCGGCCGCUUCCCCUGUCCCUUGCCACAUCCUUGAUCAGUGCUGACCCGCUCCGGACUACCUUCUCUGCUUCUGCCCCUCCUACCCCACCAACAUGAAAAGACAGACACCAGUCAUUCCCAUUUUGCAGACAAGAAGACUGAGGCUGGAUCAUGAGGCCCUCGUCCAGGGUCACAUCAUGACUACAUCCAUGUUACUGCAUCGCUACCACAGCACCAGAGGAAUACCCAGCGGGGUGCUCCCCACACCCGAUCUGGACCCUCCCCCCCCCCGCCCCGAAGCAUCCCUGUUUGGGGAACCGCUUUUCUUUGGGUCCAGCCUCCGUUCCUGAGUCAGGGAGCUCUGUGCCCAGAGAGUGGGAUUCUAACACGACACCCCUUCAGGAGCUGGGAGAAUGCGGAUUGUCAGGGCAGGGCAGCAGGCUUGGAAAAACAAGGGCGUCCUUGUCCCCGCCUGCCAGGCUGGGCUAAUUACUGCCCGGACCCCGGGAGCUUUCUUAGGCAGCUGGAGCCCACCCUUCACCCGAACUGCGGGGAGCAAAACCCUCCCCCGCCUACAGGCAUCAGGGGCUGGGGGGCUUCCUCUUGCUGAGAGGAGCUGGGAGCCCAGAGCGUUUUGGGGGGGGGGUCCCAUCCUCGAUGAUGUUCUUUUUCGCAGCCCAGUCCCUGCCAGGGAUGCCAGGCAUGCCAGUGACCUUGCCUGUCUGUCCACAGGGCCUCUGCCCCAGCCCCUUGUCCUUGACCGCCGUGUUCCUACUCCUAGGAGGCCUAGGGAGCCAGGCUUCAGGCCUAAAAUUCAUGUCCUUCCCCUGCUUAGAACCCUUCAGGGCUCCCUGUUGCCCUUAGAAAAAAGUCCACCUCCGCAGCCCUGCCCUUAUGAGGCCCUCGCUGACCAGGCCGGCCGCCCCUCGGCCCUCAUCUGAGCCCUGGUUUCCUUGUGUCCCUGCCUCCUGAGCUCCUCAAGAUUCCUCCCAACGUCACCCCAAGGCUGCCCCCGCUGCUUGCCACCCACUUAUCUUGGGUAUCCUGGGAGACACAUCCAGGCUGUCACCUCCUCCAGGAAGCUGCCUUUGAGAAUUAGAUGCAGCCCAAAGCAUCCUGCCCAUAAUUCUGUCAGAACUCCUAUUACUUUAUACGUUGUAUACCUGGGGGCGCCUGGAUGGCUCAGGCGGUUAAGCGUCCGACUUCGGCUCAGGUCAUGAUCUCGCAGUUUGUGGGUUCGAGCCCCGCGUCGGGCUCUGUGCCGACGGUUCAGAGCCCGGACCCUACUUCCGAUCCCGUGUCUCAUUCUCUCUCUGCCCCUCCCCCACUUGUGCUCCGUCCCUC